AAUAACCAAAUAUAACACCGGGGCUAAGGGUCAAAUUGGUAAUUUUUCUUACAUCUCCUCCCCCAGGAGCCCAGGUAUCAUAUAUACCGCCAAAAUAAAGAGCUUUGAGUACUAGAAGAAAAGCACCUAUACCUAACAAAAUUAGGUGAAUACCCAAAAUUGUAGUCAUUUUAUUUCUAUCUUUCCA
rfam:Oryza sativa Japonica Group DNA, chromosome 1, cultivar: Nipponbare, complete sequence.